AUGACCCGGAGUCCUCUCCUCCUCCUCCUCCUCCUCCUCCUGUCUCACUGCACAGGUUCCCUCUCUCACCCUGGGCUGACUCAGCCUCCUUCCCUCUCUGUACCUCACGGAGCAUCUGCCCGACUCACCUGCACCCUGAGCAGCGGCCUCAGCGUGAACAGCCACGUCCUAUCCUGGACACAGCACAAGCCAGGGAGUCCUCCCCAGUAUCUGCUGCACCACCACACACACACAGAUGGGUACGAGGUCUCCACGGCCCCCGGCCGCUUCUCAGGAUCCAAAGAUGCCUCAGUUAACACAGUUGCUCUACACAUCUCUGGGGUUCAGACCGACGAUGAGGCUGACUAUUACUGUGGCACAUGGGACGGCAGUGCCAAGACUUACACGGUGCUCCAGUCCCACGAGGAAGUGAGACUAAUGCCUCCCUCCUCUCUGUUCUCCGCGCCAUUACUGCUACCGGUGGGUCUGACCUAG